UUCAUACUGGUCUUUUCAUUUUUCAUUUUCUCCUCUAUUAAGUGAUUCUCUUCGUCUUCUCCCCUAAAAAAAACAUUCAUCCAUAAAAGAAAAUACAAAAUCAGAAAACCAAAAAAAAAAAAAAAAAAAACGGAAAAACCUAAACCCUGAAAUGAAGACGAGAUCUUCAUCAAAAUCAGAUAAAAACAAACAAUUUGUUGUAUUUAACCAAGAAGAAACAACGAACGAAGAAGAUGAGGAACAAUUUGAAGACAAAGAUGCAACUAAAGGUGGUAAAAACAUAAAGUUUAAGGGUGGAUUCAAAGCUUUCAUUACUCUUACUGAUAACAUUAGAAAACUGUCAGAAAAGGAAGCUCUAAAUGAACAACAGAUUAAACUAUUAAAGAAAAGUAAAUUCUGGAAGUGAUGCAAGUUUUUCUUGAAGAUAAAAUUGAUGCCUCAAAGUGGUUUAAGACAGUGAAAAAUUGUCAGAUUCUCUUGGAAGCAAACGAACAACUUCCUGGGCAAGAUGGUGUAUUUCAGUUCAUAAUUGGGGAUGAAACAUACGUCAUUCGAACUUCACCUGAAGAGUUUUCAGUAACGUUUGGCAUUCCUAUUCCGUGUAUUGAAGAUGAAGGAGGAAUAGAAGAUGCAUUGUUGGAACCCAAAAGUAUGACUGAUUACAGACUGGGAAGGUUCUAUACAAAACAUAAGUUUAUUCCACCCUCAAGAAAAGAUAAUGACAUAAGAAAUCCAGAAUUGAAAACUAAGAUCCUUGAAUUGGUUAAAUCCAAGGCACACAAUCAAGAUCUUGUUACAAUGAUGGAGUUUUUCUUGUUGUCAACAGUCUUCGUUACUACCGGCGAUGGAGGUUCCAUCAACACUAAGUACAUAGGCUUCCUAGAGUCUGAGGAUAGAGUAUCCUGGCCUCACUUAAUACACAAACAUAUUGUGGAAAGCUUAAAGAGAGAGUCAACUGAAGGAUGUCAUCUGUUUCUAUUGGUUUGGCUUGUUGAGCAUUCACAAUUAGCACCCAAGUGCAAGAUGGAAUAUCUACGACAUUUGCAAAAAAAUGGAAAAGGAUGUUUCUAAAUUUGGAAAGCCGUCAGAGAGUUUCUCAGAGGAGUACACUUUAAUUGAACAAGGAAUACUGACCGAAGAAAGAACAAAGACGAAAGUUGAGUUGCUUUAAGAAGCAUAUGACGAUAUGGCUAGUCAGGUAGAAAAACUGAAAACUGCACAUGUUAAAGAAUUUGAAGUAAUUAAAUCUAAACAUGCUAAGGAGAUUAAAGAGUUGAAAGUAAACCAUGUAGCGGAAAUGGCAAAUCGUGAAGUUCAGCAAGAAGAGUUAGAAUCUAAACUUCCAGAAAUGACAGUUGGAAAAGAUUUUUUUGGUGAAAAGAUUGACCUCCUUGCUAAACACUUGGCAUCAAAGAAAUCUGAAGUUGAUGGCAUUCUGAAAAGUGAAGGACUUGAAAAAGCAAUUGAAUACAUGACUAAUUUGACAACAAAAUUCUUACAACUUGCUUUUGACAAUGAGUACAAAAAUUCACUGUUGGCUUCUGAAAUUAACAAUGAAGUUAACUUGAAUGAUGGUACUUUGAAUGUUACUGGUGGUGAAAUAGAAGCUGAAAAUUUUCCAAAAGCAACCAGUUCACAGGCAGUUCUUCCUGAAAAUGAAAACCAAAGCAUGGAUUUAGAUGAAGAAAUACCAGUGCUGAGAAUCAAGAUGCACAAAAACCGGAUGUUGUUAGUGAAGGUAUCGAAGCUGAUGAAAUGGAAACCGAUGGAUUUUUUCCUGAGAAUGAAACCCAAAGCAUGGAUUUAGAUGCAGAAAUACCAGAUGCUGAGAAUCAAGAUGCACAAAAACCAGAUGCUGUUAGUGAAAGGAUGGAAGCUGAUGAAAUGGAAACCGGUGGAGUUCAUUCUGAAAAUGAGCAAUGUGUGGAUAUAGUUUUUUAUAACAGCAGGUCAGAGAAUGGUGGGUGGCCCAGAAGAUGAUGGAUGUCAGAGUAAGUCAGAGCAUGAAACUCCACCUUCUGUAGAGACAUCUACAAAAAUGAUUAGUGCAGAACCCAGAGUAAAGUUAACAAUAGUACCAAAAAAAAAAAAACAGCGUCAAAGCAUAAGACUACCUCUAUUGCUGAUGCUAAUGUAAAUUCAAAAAGGAAAAGAGUAGAAACUGAAGAUGUAGUAGAAGCUGAAAAUAAAUUAAGAGAAGAAAAAGAAAGAAGGCCAAACUGCAGAUGUUCUGGAAUAAUUAGAAAGUUCAACUCCACCGGUUGCUGAAAAUCAGGUUGCACAAGCGCCACAACCAAGAAGAGCCAUAAUUGAUAUCAUACCGAAUCUACCACACCUGCAAACAUCUCCAUUUUACUCAAUAUUCAAUGAUGUUCAGAAGGAAAAAUUUGAAGAAUUCUUCAACAAAGCUAUGGAUAACCAGUCAGCUUGGAAGGCAGCAGAACCACCUUUGCUAGGUGAAGAAAAACCAAAUGAACUGUCAGUGCAAGCUAGUGAGAUUGUGUCACUCCUGUUCAAUAAAUACUUGGACAACACCUUGCUUUUCUACUACAAGUUCAGAAAAAAUAAAGCUGCAAAAACAGAGAGAAUGAACUUGGGGAGCCAGGAUAGUGAGACUCCAACAAGGUACAUCAAUUUUGCAAUUAUGCCUCCAACUGCAUUUGUAAGUGUAUAUUACAUCAAACUUCUAAUGAACUGCUAAUUUUGGCUAUUAAUUCUGUCUAAUAAUGAUGGAUAAAAACCAAAUGAACUCAUAACUUGCUUUUUCAUUUUGAUAAAUUAACUAUUAUUCAUUUUUAUAAAUGGACUCUUUAAUAAUGAUGCGCAUUACUUGAUGUUUAACAAUUUUCCCUUUUAGACACAUUUGCAAAAUAAAGAUGUAAACAGAGAAGUUCAUGGUUUUAUACAAAACAUGGACAACAAAACCAAGAAGCUAUUAAUACCAAUGAACUAUGACAUAAAAAUUGGCAAAGCUAGAGCUAAAGGGCUUGUAGGGGAUCACUGGCAUCUGCUAGUAUUGGACGUUGGUAAACAACAUUGGGAGCACUACAACUCUCGCAUAAGAGGUAAACUUGGUAAGCAAUGUGGUAUUGGUGCAGGAAAUAUGGCUGAUUACUGCAUGGCAUACAUCAAUAAAUGACUUGAAGCUAAUAACAUGCCAAUAUGCAGUACUUUUGUCUUUGAAAAACUACAACGAAUACCGGAACAAGGAUCAAAUCCAGAUUGCCUGUUAUAUGCAUGUUACUGGAUAAAGAGAAGUAUCAAGCCAAGCCCAAUACCGAUUUAAACAAAACUCAAAUGAUGAACAAGAUGCAACUGAAGAGAGUUGAUAUGCCUUUCAAGCUUCUUACUGCAACAGGAGAAAAUGAAGAUAGUUGGGGUGAAUCCACUAAUAGUGACUACUUGAACAAUGUCGCAUAUGAUCUUGGUUUAGA